rnacentral:rRNA from 1 species
AACGAACGUUGGCGGCGUGCCUAACACAUGCAAGUCGAGCGGAGGGAGCAAUCCCUUAGCGGCGGACGGGUGAGGAACACGUGAGUAACCUGCCCUUUGGCUUGGGAUAACGUUCCGAAAGGGGCGCUAAUACCGGAUAGUUCUCAUGGGGGAUGCCCUAUGAGAGGAAAGGAGAUAUCCACCAGAGGAGGGGCUCGCGGCCCAUUAGCUAGUUGGGGCGGUAAUGGCGCACCAAGGCGAAGAUGGGUAGCCGGUCUGAGAGGAUGAUCGGCCACACUGGAACUGAGACACGGUCCAGACUCCUACGGGAGGCAGCAGUGGGGAAUAUUGCGCAAUGGAGGAAACUCUGACGCAGCAACGCCGCGUGGGUGAAGAAGGUCUUCGGAUUGUAAAGCCCUGUCGGGGGGGAAGAAAAGCGCGUGGAGAACGCGUAUGACGGUACCCUCGAAGGAAGCACUGGCUAACUCCGUGCCAGCAGCCGCGGUAAU